rnacentral:tRNA from 1 species
ACUUAAGUAGUUUAAGUAAAACAAUGAUUUGUGGAGUCAUGAAUAUAGAUUUUCUAUCUUGAGUA